GAGACAGGCUGAAGGACACCUCCCUCCUCCUCAGGCUGCUUCCUCACCUCCCCAGCGACUGUGGACGUGGUUAGACCUGGAAAUUAAAUAUCUAUUCUUCCUGAUGAGGAGGAAGGUUGACUCAGAGAAGGCCAACUAUUUGUCCAGGUUACAGAGCCCAACACUCAGCCCCGGGGAUGAAGGGAUCGGUACAGGCCAAGACUUUCUGCUCUGAUGCAGCUACAGCCUACUCACCAGGAACAAACAGCCCCUUGACGACAAGGCCUUCUGUUCUAGGUACAGCCUCUCAUUCUCAUCAUCAUGUCCACAUCUGAGCUCUGCUUCGAUGAGACAUUCAGUGUGGGUGGGCAGCUUCAGCAAAGCAUGCAGUGUGAGUCAGCAGCUUCAACGAGGCAUGCAACAUGGAUCUGCAGCUUUGACAAGGCAUGUAGCUUGGAAUGGCAGGUCAUGUGCAAUGCCAUCAGACACUAAGGACAUUCCACGUACUUUUGUUUGCAUUGUUUGGCUUUUCUGACUUGGAGAAAAUACGGCAUUUCUUAUUAUUAAUAAUGAUACUGAAUUAAUAAUAAUGAUGAUGAUGUAUUGUUUUUGUUCGUUUUGUGUGUGCUGUAUUAUCUCACCAAUCCAACUCGAGUACAACAUGUAUUUCUUCUGCCUUAAUUUUAAUUUCUCUGCAAACCAUUCAGGGAAGAGUCCUUCUUAUUUUUCUGUUGUUCCUUUUCAUCUCAAUGGAGAGGCUACAUAAUUUCGAGCCACAGGUAGGGUGACCUCAUGAUUAUAAAUGCUCUCCCUGACCUGUCGAUUGGCAAGGACAAACCCAGUGCUCCUAUAGGAGAUGGAGGUUUGCGCUCUGUCUCCCUUUCAGCAAUGUGGAAAGUGAGGCCGACAGGAAAACAACCCUGAGAGACGCGGGGCCUUGAAGACUGGCCUGACUGAGGUGUGUGUCCUUCUGUGGAAAUGCAAACAUAGACGAAAGGCCCUAUAUUUAAUAUUAUUUCAAAAUAUGAAACAAUAUUAUGUUAUUUUUUCUAAAUUUUUACCCUGGUGUCACCUGAAUGGCCAUCCUUAAC